rnacentral:rRNA from 1 species
GGCUGUGUGGUUUAUUAGUAUAGAGUCUAGCCUGCCCACUGAGUUUUUAAAGGGCUGCGGUAAUUUGACCGUGCAAAGGUAGCAUAAUCAAUAGUCUUUUAAUUGAAGGCUUGAAUGAACGGCUGGAUAAAAGAGAAGCUGUCUUUUUUUCAAGUUAGAAUUUGACUUUUAAGUGAAAAGGCUUAAAUUAACUAAAGGGACGAUAAGACCCUAUAAAACUUAAUAAAAGGUUAAUUUUAACUAUGAAUUGUAUUUAAAAGUUGUGAAAUUCUCUUUUUAUUUUGUUGGGGCGACAUUGAUAUAAGCUGUAACUGUCUUGAUAAUAAAAUAGUUAUCACUAUAAGCUGAUCCUUUUUUAGGGAUAAUAAGUAUAAGUUACUUUAGGGAUAACAGCGUAAUUUUUUCUGAGAGUUCUUAUCGAAGAAAGUAGUUGCGACCUCGAUGUUGAAUUAAAAUUUCAUGCAGGUGUAGCCGCUUGCCGUGUGGGUCUGUUCGACCUUUAAAAUUUU